GACCCAGGCCCUGCCAACCUGAUGCGCUCAUGCUCUGCUCUGAGAAACAAAUGACCAGGACAGAGGCUGGUGGGGGUUACUCUUGAUGGCUUUGCUGGUGGUGCCCAGUGGGUGCUGUGUUCAAUGCCAGCCUAUUCCUGCUGAGUGACAGUGUGCUUUCUUGGCCCUCAGGGCUCCUGCCUCCAGAUGAGUUCCUCUGCUACUAACCAAAAGGUGGUAGUUUCAAUCCACCCAGCUGCACUAUGGAAGAAAGGCCUGGUGAUCUGCCAAGAAAAUCCUAUGGAGCUCAGUUCUACUCUGUAACACAGAGAUUACUUGCUGGUCCUAAAGGAAGAAAAUGAAACUUCAGUAUAGAGGGUCUGGCUGUCACCAGCUGGAGCCACCAAUCUACAUUUGCAUCACUAAUAGUGAAACUCUAGGCAUUGAGGACACCCCGAUGUAGUAUGAUACACAGUCAGAAGCAGCACCCACGGAAUGUUCUUGCCAGAACAGUCAACCUGAAUCUAAUCAAGCCUGUAGAUCUAAUUUCCAGUUUACAGGAAAUACAGGGUAAACAACACCACCAGGAAGCAAUCAGAGAAAUCUACAAGUGGUGGCGUGUGUAUUGCUGUGAUGCUGAAAGCUAUGGCAAUCUACUUCCAAAAAUUAGC